rnacentral:misc_RNA from 1 species
GAUAAGAACGUAGCGAAAUGCGAUAAGUAAUGUGAAUUGCAGAAUUCAGUGAAUCAUCGAAUCUUUGAACGCACAUUGCGCCCGUCAGUAUUCUGGCGGGCAUGCCUGUUCGAGCGUCAUUACGCCCCUCAAGUCCCCUGUGGACUUGGUGUUGGGGAUCGGCGAGGCUGGUUUUCCAGCACAGCCGUCCCUUAAAUUAAUUGGCGGUCUCGCCGUGGCCCUCCUCUGCGCAGUAGUAAAACACUCGCAACAGGAGCCCGGCGCGGUCCACUGCCGUAAAACCCCCCAACUUUUUAUAGUUGACCUCGAAUCAGGUAGGACUACCCGCUGAACUUAAGCAUAUCAAAAGCGGAGGA